UACGGAGGGGGCUAGCGUUGUUCGGAAUUACUGGGCGUAAAGCGCACGUAGGCGGCUUGUUAAGUCAGGGGUGAAAUCCUGGAGCUCAACUCCAGAACUGCCCUUGAUACUGGCAAUCUUGAGUCCGGAAGAGGUGAGUGGAACUCCUAGUGUAGAGGUGGAAUUCGUAGAUAUUAGGAAGAACACCAGGGGCGAAGGCGGCUCACUGGUCCGGUACUGACGCUGAGGUGCGAAAGCGUGGGGAGCAAACAGG
rnacentral:rRNA from 1 species